UAGCUUGCUACUGGACCUAGCGGCGGACGGGUGAGUAAUGCUUAGGAAUCUGCCUAUUAGUGGGGGACAACAUUCCGAAAGGAAUGCUAAUACCGCAUACGUCCUACGGGAGAAAGCAGGGGACCUUCGGGCCUUGCGCUAAUAGAUGAGCCUAAGUCGGAUUAGCUAGUUGGUGGGGUAAAGGCCUACCAAGGCGACGAUCUGUAGCGGGUCUGAGAGGAUGAUCCGCCACACUGGGACUGAGACACGGCCCAGACUCCUACGGGAGGCAGCAGUGGGGAAUAUUGGACAAUGGGGGGAACCCUGAUCCAGCCAUGCCGCGUGUGUGAAGAAGGCCUUAUGGUUGUAAAGCACUUUAAGCGAGGAGGAGGCUACUAGUAUUAAUACUACUGGAUAGUGGACGUUACUCGCAGAAUAAGCACCGGCUAACUCUGUGCCAGCAGCCGCGGUAAUACAGAGGGUGCGAGCGUUAAUCGGAUUUACUGGGCGUAAAGCGUGCGUAGGCGGCCAUUUAAGUCAAAUGUGAAAUCCCCGAGCUUAACUUGGGAAUUGCAUUCGAUACUGGAUGGCUAGAGUAUGGGAGAGGAUGGUAGAAUUCCAGGUGUAGCGGUGAAAUGCGUAGAGAUCUGGAGGAAUACCGAUGGCGAAGGCAGCCAUCUGGCCUAAUACUGACGCUGAGGUACGA
rnacentral:rRNA from 1 species